rnacentral:rRNA from 1 species
AUUGAACGCUGGCGGCAGGCCUAACACAUGCCAGUCGAGCGGAGCGGCGGACGGGUGAGUAAUGCCUAGGUAUCUGCCUGGUAGUGGGGGAUAACGUCCGGUAACGGGCGCUAAUACCGCAUACUAUCAGAUGAGCCUAGGUCGGUUUAGCUAGUUGGUUGGGUAAUGGCCUACCAAGGCGACGAGCCGUAACUGGUCUGAGAGGAGAAUCAGUCACAAUGGAACGGAGACACGGUCCAGAAUCCUACGGGAGGCAGCAGUGGGGAAGAUUGGACAAUGGGCGAAAGCCUGAUGCAGCAAUGCCGCGUGUGUGAAGAAGGGCUUCGGAUUGUAAAGCACUUGAGGUAGGGAAGCGUUACCAACAGAAUAAGCAACGGCUAACUUCGUGCCAGCAGCCGCGGUAAUAC